UUCUCCCUAUCCUCGACAUACAGAAACCCAAAAUAAUUUGAAAUUUUUCAUAUCUUAUCAUGGAUUUCUGGAUGGCUGCAUUGAUAUAGUUGCCUUGAUACCGCUCUGACAACUUCAGUUCUCAUUCGAUUGUUGCGCGGAAGAAAAACGACAAGGAAAUUUUCCAAGGCAACUUGGACGUCUACGGGAAACGAUCAAGUGAAUAUUCAGACGGAUGUUGGAUGACCAGGAAAUAAGAAUAAAAAAAGGAGGAACUGAAUGGAUGAAUGAAGAGGGCAAGGCACAGGAGCACGAGUCCGUGAAUGAAGGAAGAGGGAGACAUAGAAGGGAGGGAAUAAGUAAACUGGUAUCAGAUUGAUAAAACAUUUUGAUCGCCGGCAAAAAAAGGAGAAUAAGGAUGGAAAGCCAGAUGUCCCUUGACUAGCCGGUAUUCAGUAUGACGAACAUGCUUCUGGUGAACACGUGUUUUGACGCAGCCCAAUCAACACUGCCAAGUAAAGCAUACGACUACAAGAUUAGAAAUGAGGAUUUCGAGGUUUUUUUAUUUAUUUUUAGGUCUGAAGAAGAAAACCUUUACAUUCUGAUUCCCAGAGUAAGUAAAAAUUGAAGGGAAAAAAUUUGUUGAAAUUUUUAUUUUAGCGCGGUUCUGGAACAAUGAAUAUUUUUUGGAAGUGGGCUGUGUCCCCACGCGUUUUCCUCUCGUUAUUUACUGGCGACGAAUCUUUAGUUUACUCAACUUCUCUUUCUGUCACUACUUUGGUGUCACAAAAAGUAAGGAAUUCUCUGUCAAAUAUUUUCGUCACAAAUGCCAAGAAGUGUUGACCUUUAAAUGGUUUCCGCAGUGCCCUCAGGAUAGUUUGGCCGCCGGAAGUGCCUCAGAAGCCAAUUUCCUUAACAAGGUCAAAAAUGCCAGGAAGUAGGAAAGGAAAUCCUUUUAUUCCAUUCGAUCCGUGAUUCUAUCGUAACUAUCCAGUCAUUCUUUGGUAUUCAAACCGGAUGUCGUUCUGUACACUUUUAAUAAAUUAAAAUUUACAUCGACUGAUGUAGCAUCGAAUUUGCUUUUCCCUUUCGGUGCAGCCACUGCGAUUUUGCGUUUUUGUUUUUUGAUCGUUACUCAACAGUUUCAAACUUUUUUACA